CCUGGCUCAGUAUGAACGCUAGCGACAGGCUUAACACAUGCAAGUCGAGGGGCAGCACAGGUAGCAAUACCGGGUGGCGACCGGCGCACGGGUGAGUAACGCGUAUGCAACUUACCUAUCAGAGGGGGAUAACCCGGCGAAAGUCGGACUAAUACCGCAUGAAGCAGGGGCCCCGCAUGGGGAUAUUUGCUAAAGAUUCAUCGCUGAUAGAUAGGCAUGCGUUCCAUUAGGCAGUUGGCGGGGUAACGGCCCACCAAACCGACGAUGGAUAGGGGUUCUGAGAGGAAGGUCCCCCACAUUGGUACUGAGACACGGACCAAACUCCUACGGGAGGCAGCAGUGAGGAAUAUUGGUCAAUGGCCGAGAGGCUGAACCAGCCAAGUCGCGUGAGGGAUGAAGGUUCUAUGGAUCGUAAACCUCUUUUAUAAGGGAAUAAAGUGCGGGACGUGUCCCGUUUUGUAUGUACCUUAUGAAUAAGGAUCGGCUAACUCCGUGCCAGCAGCCGCGGUAAUACGGAGGAUCCGAGCGUUAUCCGGAUUUAUUGGGUUUAAAGGGUGCGUAGGCGGCCUUUUAAGUCAGCGGUGAAAGUCUGUGGCUCAACCAUAGAAUUGCCGUUGAAACUGGGGGGCUUGAGUAUGUUUGAGGCAGGCGGAAUGCGUGGUGUAGCGGUGAAAUGCAUAGAUAUCACGCAGAACCCCGAUUGCGAAGGCAGCCUGCCAAGCCAUGACUGACGCUGAUGCACGAAAGCGUGGGGAUCAAACAGGAUUAGAUACCCUGGUAGUCCACGCAGUAAACGAUGAUCACUAGCUGUUUGCGAUACACUGUAAGCGGCACAGCGAAAGCGUUAAGUGAUCCACCUGGGGAGUACGCCGGCAACGGUGAAACUCAAAGGAAUUGACGGGGGCCCGCACAAGCGGAGGAACAUGUGGUUUAAUUCGAUGAUACGCGAGGAACCUUACCCGGGUUUGAACGCAUUCGGACCGAGGUGGAAACACCUUUUCUAGCAAUAGCCGUUUGCGAGGUGCUGCAUGGUUGUCGUCAGCUCGUGCCGUGAGGUGUCGGCUUAAGUGCCAUAACGAGCGCAACCCUUGCCACUAGUUACUAACAGGUGAUGCUGAGGACUCUGGUGGGACUGCCAGCGUAAGCUGCGAGGAAGGCGGGGAUGACGUCAAAUCAGCACGGCCCUUACAUCCGGGGCGACACACGUGUUACAAUGGCGUGGACAAAGGGAGGCCACCUGGCGACAGGGAGCGAAUCCCCAAACCACGUCUCAGUUCGGAUCGGAGUCUGCAACCCGACUCCGUGAAGCUGGAUUCGCUAGUAAUCGCGCAUCAGCCAUGGCGCGGUGAAUACGUUCCCGGGCCUUGUACACACCGCCCG
rnacentral:rRNA from 1 species